rnacentral:rRNA from 1 species
GAUAACAUCAAUGGAUCCAUUCAAAUAAUCAAGAUAAUGACAUAGAAAGCGCCACGCGUGGCACGUACUGUUGUGCGUGGAAGUAUAUCUGCUUACAGCGAUGCAAAGAGUGUAGAAAACGCAAGCGAAGACUUGACAUUUCUGUUUCUUGUACCUCCAGGUACAGACUCUUGGCCUUUUAAUACCUGUAGUCGACCACCGCUUCCUAGCUCACAAACACAAAGCUCAAACAGCUCAUACAAUGGUUAGGGUGCUGGACCACGCUGUGGCUGGAGGCAUUGCCGCCGGACCCCUGCAGCACUCCCCCGGGACCGUCGUGGGUCUGGUUUUCGUCUUCAUGGCCGCGGCAGCGAUCGUGGCAAUUGCCGUGUUCGGCUGCGCCGACGACGGGGAGGGGAAGCCGACACGGCGCCGCAGCCACUGGGGAGGCGGUGGCGCAGGAGGUGGCGCAGGUUGCGGAGGAGGAUGUGGUGGCGGCGGCGGCGGUGGCGGGUGUUGAGAAGCGCGUCAUGCAGGGGAGCUCUUGAAAUGGAUUUAAGUUAUAUGGCCGACUGUACGUACUUCAUUCUGUCCAUAUAUCUCUGUAUAUAUAUACCAUGUUGUCCUCAUAUAUGUAUAUAAUUUGGAUCAUCUUUGGCGUGUAAGAAUUGUUUGUGUGUUGAAUGGUAACAGCUGAUUCUGAAGACCCGCGGAUCAAGCACAAUAUAUGUAUCAAAAACCGUGCUCUUUUUGGUUGUUUUCAUAACCUAUUUUCGAACUUGGUUGUUUUUGUAUGAUGUGGGAAUUACAUGUUGUAUUCCUCAGGUGCAAACGCACGUAUAUAUGAUGUACAGGAGUAGCCCACGACCUCAACUAUACAAGGCAACUAGGAGGUGUUGG